AGUGAACGCUGGCGGUAGGCCUAACACAUGCAAGUCGAACGACAGCACAGUAAGAUCUUUCUCUUACCGUUGGCGAGUGGCGGACGGGUGAGGCAUACAUCAGCAUCUACUUUUUCUUGGAGGAUUUCGUAAGACAACUUACACUAAUACCGCAUAUAUCCUACGGGUGAAAUCAAGAGAUCUUCGGGCCUUGCGCGAUUGAAUGAGACGAUGUCGGAUUAGCUAGUUGGUGUGGUAAAGGCCCACCAAGGCGACGAUCCGUAGCUGAUCUGAGAGGAUGAUCAGCCACACUGGAACUGAGACACGGUCCAGACUCCUACGGGAGGCAGCAGUGGGGAAUAUUGGGCAAUGGGCGAAAGCCUGAUCGAGCCAUGCCGCGUGAGUGAAGAAGGUCUUCGGGUUGUAAAGCCCUUUUGUUAGGAAAGAAAAGCAGCAGGUUAAACCACCGCUGUUCUGACGGUACCCAAAGAAAAAGCACCGGCUAACUUCGUG
rnacentral:rRNA from 1 species